rnacentral:tRNA from 1 species
GGAGAGAUGGCUCAGCGGUAAAGAGCACUUGACUGCGCUUCCAGAGGUCCUGAGUUCAAUUCCCAGCAACCACA